AAAUAAUAAAACAUAUUCCUUCUAGUAAAAGAUUUAAGCCUAAAGAAGCCAGGCAAGACCAUUUAGUUCCUUACCAUAGUCCCUCUCUCAGAGACUACAUUAAUUUUCAUUUGUUGGCCAGAAAAAUACCUGGCCAAAUACCUAGAGAAAUCAGUGUAUGAAGAUGGCACAGUUUGGUGGAAACACUCUGGCUUAGACUCAGGCUCUGGAGGCUCAAGUCAUGCCCCCACAUUUAGAAUCCUGUAUUGUUUACCUAGUUAUUUGACAUUCUGGCCUUAGUUUUGUCAUCUGUAAGAUGGAGGCAAUAAUACCUGCACAGUUUAUGGAGUUAUUAGGUGGCCCCAAGCAGGCGAUGGAGGGUACUUUGCAAGGUGAUACACAAAAGUGAGAAAUGACCGGGCCUCCCGUCUGUCCAAGGACAAGCAUGGUAAUUAAUUCUAACUUAGAAAACACUGGCUUCCUAUACAUUCUCCCAAUGUAACCAUUCCAUGGAUGAUGGCUCCAGCUUCCGGCAGGGUCUGCUGUGUGCACGGAGCACCCGUCAGCCUGGAGCAGACCUGAGACGCUGGCACAAGAACUGUCAUCUGGAGAAGCGUCACCUCCUGUCCGGCUGAGGUUCCACGGGGCUUCUGCCAGAGACCUGAAUAAAUGUUAUAGAACAGCCCAAUCUCACUGUCCUCCUUUGUCUUCCAGAAGCCCUUGCCCUGUCCUGAGCUUACUGACAUGGCCAAAAGACUGAAAAUGCUAACAAGACAGGGAGCCCCCCAUCUGCAAAUCCUGUUCUUACCCAUCAAGCUAAGCCAGCACCUGUACUUGUUCCAGGUUGAGCCCAACAGCAGCCUCAUAUCCUAAGGCACAGCUCGCUGAGUUCUGAGCCCUCCCAAGGGAAGGUCUUAACCCUAGCUCAUCCAUUUCCAAAGCUGAGGCCAUGAGCCAAGUGUCCCAGGAUGCUCUCCACUCUGCCCACAGAGCGAGGUCGCUGGUCUCUGAAGCAAGUCCCAGGUUUCCCACACUUCCCCCAUGAGAAGAAUUCUGGGGUGCUUGUUAAACAUCCAGCUCCCCAGGUAUGUACCCUGAAGAUUCUGUUUGAGUUGGUCUUGAGUAGGACACAGGAACCGGUGUGUUUAAUAGGCACCCAGGGGAUAACAAUCAAAUGUGACUCAAAGCCAGCGCGGUAACCUUGGCUCAGAAACAAGCAAAUCUGGCCAGGCGCAGUAGCUCACACCUGUAAUCCCAGCACUUUGGGGGACUGAGGUGGGCGGAUUACUUGAGGUCAGGAGUUCG
rnacentral:lncRNA from 10 species